GGAUUGGGAUAUUCCGACUCCUUAAGGGCCUGGCGCACAUAAGGUGUGACCUUUUCAUUCCCGUUGUUAUGGAGGUAGGCUCUCUAGGAAUCUGGGAGUAGUAGCUGGGGGGCAAGAGCAAAUAAAGAGCUCGAGCUUCUGUGGUCUCUGGGGAGAUGUUCCCGGGAAGCCUGUCUAGAGGGCGGAGGGCAGCUGUUGAGAUGGCGUGGCUCCCCGGCUCCUGCGCCCGCGUGGCUUUCGCGGCGGGCGCUGCGGCCCGGUAUUGGACAGCCUGGCAGGGCAGCGCGGGGCCGAAUCCGGCUGCCGUGGCUGAGGCUCAUGGAUCACUCUUUUGUGGUAGGGCCACAUCUGCCAGAGCCUGGAGUCUGCGAAGGCCGGGACCCGGUUCCCCGGCCCACAGUGGGGGUGUGCAAACCCGAGAGAACUGGAUUGCGUACCCACUGCAGAGUGCUGAAGACGGGGUAGCCACGAGGUUGCAAAUUCGUGAAGAAUCAGCAUCAUGUUUGGCAGCUGAGUAUUGGAGCCAGGAGCCUGCCAUGAGGUUUUGAGAACAGAGUGCUGUUUUAGAGCUGGCAGCAGCAUCUCAGCCCAAGAGAAGGUUAUAUUCCCAGAGGAUGUCAGUCCCAAGGACCAGUAGCUGCCAUCAGUUUGGAUUCUGAAAACUAACUGGCAUCAACACUGGGUGUAGAAACAUGCUUGCCUUAUGUAUCAGAGGACAUGCUCAGCAGAUCCAAGAGAUAUAUUUGGCAACUUUUUCUAGAAAAGGCACAUUGGGUAUCAUUCAUUACAUUCUUGAGUUUUUUUGGGUUUUUUUUUUUUUUUUUGAGACAGUCUUGCUGUAUUGCCCAGGCUGGAGUGUGGUGGCACAAUCACAGCUCAUUGCAUCCUCAAUCACCCAGGCCUAAGCAAUCCUCCCACCUUGUAGCUGGGACUACAGCUCACAGCACACCUGGCUAAAAUUUUUUUUUUGUUGAGACGGAUUCUCUAUGUUGCCCAGGCUGGUCUCAGGCUCCUGGGCUCAGAUGGUCCUCCUGCCUCAGCUUCCAAAGGCACAGGCCAAGUUGUAGCUUUGUCCCUUGCCAUCAUGCCCAACAAGAGGUUCUAUACCUUUUAAUGAAUUGACUUUCAUAAAUUGGUUAUGUUGGUGGGCAAAGUUCUUUAAGCUGGAAAUUGUAAAUUCCUCCUGAAAUGUUUUUUCAUGCAGUUACCAUGAACUAAUACUACAAUAAAGGAUGGUCUUGGGUGUCAAUUCUUGAA
rnacentral:lncRNA from 1 species